AAGAGUAUAGAGACUUCGGUCUACUACUCCACCCUUUGUUUACAAUACCAUUGUUGCUUUGGCAGGCCCGUCGCAAGACAACCGGCUUCGGCUGGUCAGUGCCUGCCAGAGGACCUAAAACUCAUGUUUAUAUUAUUGUCUGAGUACUAUAUAAUAGUUA
rnacentral:misc_RNA from 1 species